rnacentral:misc_RNA from 1 species
GAAAUGCGAUAAGUAAUGUGAAUUGCAGAAUUCAGUGAAUCAUCGAAUCUUUGAACGCACAUUGCGCCCCUUGGUAUUCCGGGGGGCAUGCCUGUUCGAGCGUCAUUAUAACCCUCAAGCUCAGCUUGGUGUUGGAGCCUGCCUUUAGGCAGCUCUUAAAAUCAGUGGCGGCGCCAUCUGGCUCUAAGCGUAGUAAUACUUCUCGCUAUAGGGUCCUGGUGGACGUUUGCCAACAACCCCUAAUUUUCUGUGGUUGACCUCGGAUCAGGUAGGGAUACCCGCUGAACUUAA